CGUAAAGAUUUAGAUAAGAAUUUCAUUCUUUAUGCAAUUGUAUUUUUUGUAUCAUAUAAAAUAAGAGAAAGCAUUUCUUUAAAUUACGAAAAAUUUGAAGAAACUAUUUUUGAUUUUUAAUAAAUGUAAAAGAAUAUUUUUAAAUAUUUAAAAUUUUAAGAAUGUUUUAAUAUCAAGUUUCAUAGAAAAAAAAAUCAAUAAAAUCUACAAUUAUAGGUAAAAUAAUGAUAGUAUAUAUUACAGAUCUCUAUAACUUUGAGCAAUUAGUUAAUUGUAUGAAUUAUAACAUUAUAUGUUUGAUACUAUUUAGCAUUAAUUAACGUUGUAAUUGAAAGAUAGCCGAGAAUCGAUAUUUCCAAGCAGUGCAUUCGAUAAUGUAAAACGAUGUUAUCUGGAUCUCUUUCCAAUGCAUUCUUGGCAGUUCGUUAACAAGACCAUGACUGUGAGUUGUAUACCAAGAACGGAAAAAGGAAGGCGAAAGUAUUCUAUAUAUGAUGGAUUUCUUCUUCCUUAAGUAUAAGAACGAACAUCCUGCCCGCAGGGUUUCUAAUAGCCAGUCUAGACGGCAUCUGGUUAUUACAUAUUAUGGAUAUUUAUAUGGAACUAUUUAAUUAUUUCAAUUUUUAAAUAAAUUUUGAAAAUUUUCAAAAGAUAUCUAUAUUUAAUAGAAGAAAAAAAAUAUUGAUAACGUAAAUCAUUUUUAAAAAAUUCACUCGUUAGUUUAUUGAACUGUCUAGUAAAUACUUAUAAUCUACAAGUUAAUAAGAUUCAUAAAAAAAUGUUAGAACAAUCGUUCAUUCAUCAACAAAGAGGAAUUGUUGAAUAUAUGUAAGAAGACACGAUUUCCUGCAGUUGUGCAUGUACCACUGGACAAGUAUUUAUAGUUUUCGACUUCUCGUCUGGUGCUGCUGCACGACCGGAAACCAGCCGAUUAUAUUUAGAAAAAGACUUGACUGGACGUAGAAUAACAAUUCUGCUCGCGUUUGUCGAGAGAGAAUCAGUAUUGGCUAAUUCCCUUUACCCCUACUUUCGAAACAUCCGUCUUAUUAAUGAUUUACUUGUUAAAAAAAAAUUAUAAAUAAAUGUGUCGAUAAUGGAUGAUUAAUUAUAUUAUAGAAUCGUUCGAACUUUGAAUUUUAUGAUAGAGAUUAUUACUCCGUUACAUUAUUAUUUCUUUAAUAUAAAUUCACUUUUGCCUAGUUCUUUUAGCUUCUCAAAAUAAUUAAUUCUAUGUAAAAAGUAUAAAAAUUUUGAACUUUUCCAAAAAAAAUAGAAAUAUAAAAUGGAUUUUUCUACAUUAUUUUACAAUAGUAAAACAUAUAAAUUAAAAAUUUGCAAAAUAUUUUUUGAAAAUUACAAAAAAUAAUUAAAAUUUGUUUAAUUCCACAAAAAUAUAUCAUUAGUUUAAUUUGUCAUUUAUAUUUAGUGAUUCUAAAUUUUCAAAGAUUUUUAUUAAUAUAAUAAUUUUUAUUAAUAAAUCACAGAUAUUAUAAAUUAAUAUUUAUAAUCUACAAAUAAAAAUAAGAAAAGAAGAAUAAUUCUGAAGAUGAAUGCACUAAAAAAGAUUCAAGAUUUCAUUACAAAAAGGAAAAGCAACAACUAUAAUUAGACACUGUAUCAGCCAGCGGUUAUUUCGUAUUAAGGAUGAUGAGGCAACCAUAACUAUCUUGCCAGUCGAGCCAGAUGGUGUACAAAGUGGGCCUCGAUCCUGACUCGAAGGAGAGCAUCCCAUCAGGAUCGUACAAGGUCACUUUUUGCAAGCGCAUUGACCUCGAAAAAGAAGGGAAGAAAGCAAACCGACGAUGGACCACCGGAUGUGGAUCAUUGGCGAUUUUCUUGGUACAUCCAGACGUUAUUGCACGAUUAAAAUCUUUUAACGGUCAUCGAACGAUUUUGUUCGUACAGACUUUAUGAGAAAAAAGGGUAUAAGAGUGGUAUCAUUUGGGAGGAUGAACUUCCGGCGAGAUCUUUCUUGAGAGAAAAAAAUUUAAUUCAUGGUUGUAUUUUAAAGAAUAUGAACUUUCAACAUGGACUUCCAGUGACAUUUUUAUAUUUAUAGUUACAUUACAAUUUAAUAAUGAUUUGAUUUCUUUUUAAUUCUGCUUUAAUUUUUUUUUUAUGUUUUAUAUUUUCACAGAUUUCUCGUAUAAGAUAAUUAAAAAAAUUUAAAAAUUACAAUUAUAAGUUGAAAAAUAUGAGAUAUUUCUUUUUGAUUUUAAAAAAAUAUACAUGACAUCCGUACGAUUGUUUCAUAAAAAUUUCAUAUACCCGUAUAUGUAACAAUAUGAUGUAUUAAUGGUAUCUGAAAGGAAACGAAAGACCUCGUUCUUCUUUACAAUUUUCACCUCGUAGAUCAACUUCAGAAAGCGUGAAGCCACAUGUUAUACUUCGUUGCAAUUGAUCGUCUAGUUAUUCAAUAGAUGAAAAAGAAUUGCUUGUUGCAUUUUCGCAUAAUUGCAUUUUUGUUAAAAACAAUUACUACAAUUAUCAUUUUUGAAAAUACUGGAAAAUAAGUUUUGAAACAAAUAUUAUAUUACUCCUAAUGAAAUAUAUUAUUAUUACAUUUAUUACUAGUUUAAUUAUAAAGUUUCGAAAAAAAUUUUUAUCGCCAUUAUCACUAUUACAAAAAAAAAAAAUAUUAUAGUGUCACAUUUAUAUAUAAUCACAAAAUUUUGAUAUUAUAUAUGAUAUUUUAUAUAUAUAAUAUAAUAUAUAUAUUACAUAUUAUUGCUAUAAAUAAUAUCUAUUAACAAAAAUGAAAAAAUCAAAAAAUUUAUUAUUAAAACAGAAUUGAUCGAAAAAAAAGAAUAUAAAGGUAAAAAAGACCGGUAAAAUGAAAGUUUCUAAAAUACAUGCACAAGUCAUAAAAGUUGAUGAAUAUCCAUGAAUAAGGAGGCAACGGUUUAUGAAAAUAGAAACUCGAGGGCUGAAACGAGCAAGUUACACAUCGGCGAACAUUGGUUGAUGCAAUUAAACAACCUGUUUCGGAGGAUCCAUCGUGUUAUCCUGCUAUUCUUUCGCAUACUUUCUCAUUCAAACGCAUGUAAGUCGCGAAGAAAAAAAAGAAAGGUUGAUGAACACAAAAAGCAUCAAUUAUAAAAGAACACGUGAUCAUGGUAAAACAAGAAUCCUGGCUAAUAGCACGUUUCCGGUUUACGAAGGUAAACUACGUGGCAACGAGGCAACAUAGGUAUUCACGUAAAAACCGAGCCCUAAUCAAGAUCAAAGGGGAGAAAAAUUUCAACGAUUUUAAAGAAUGUUGAAGGACGAUAAGCGCUUUUAAAGAUUUUUUUUUCUUCAGUUUUCAAAGUUUAUUAUUAUAUUUAAAAACAUUUAAAAAAUAUUUCUACGCUAAAUAUUAAAUAUUCAAUGUAUUGAUGAUCGAAUAUCGAAUUUUUACAGGAUCGAAUGUUCCAAAAUAUGAAUUUUUUUAAAAAAAUUAAAUGCCAAAGUUUAUUAAAGAUGAAUAAUAAUAAAAUAAUAAAAAUAAUAAAAAUAAGAAUUCAAUUUAAAAGAAGAUAUCUGCUUCUAAUUAAGGAAAACUCUUCAGAAUUUGUCUCAUAGACGAAUCGAUAAAUAUAUAAUUUAUAGUGAUCGUGUUUUUUCAGUUGUACUUGCUGUACUCGCUGCACUCGUUGCACUUAUUAUCAUCCUGAAAUAUUCGUUUUUCCAUACCAGAAAAGGUAACAUCUGCGUGAUGUGUCAUGCGAAAUGUUUCGAACAAGCAACUUAAAUUUCUAACGAGAUAAAAGAAAUGAAUCGGAGAUUUAUAAUUCAUAGUUAACAUAAUUGAUAAAGAUUUCAUAAAAAAAGCACGCGAUAUAUGUAUAUUUUAUUCAUGUAUUUCCUUAAUUCCUAUAUACUUAUAUACUUAAUUAAAUAGUUCUUAAAAUUUCCUUUUUGUUUCAUCUAUUUCUUUUAUUGCUUGUUCUUAAUUUUUAUCUCUUUUAUUAUAAAUAUUUAUUUUUUAUUGUUACAAUUUCUAUUUUCAUUUUAAAAAUAUUCAAACCUAAAAUGUUUUUCAACUAAUUACUUAUACAUAAUAUACAAUUAACAAAAUAGGAAUACUAAAAAAUAAUCCUUUUUAAUUUUAGUCCUUAGGGACUAAAUAAGGGACUAUCAUCUCUUUGAUAAUAUAAUAUAUAGCUGAUCAAUGGAAGAAACUAGAGUUAAGACAAAUAGAAAAAAAGCUGGAUACGAUAUACAGGAACGAGACGAAUUCUUGAGUGGAAAGGAAAAAGAGACAAUGUGUAUAGACAGUUGUGUCCGUAUACGUGUGUGCUCCGGAAUGAAGGAGGGGCGUAAUACCUUAGCAAAGCAGCUUGUUCCUCACAUUCCUUCUCGCGAUGCUUGUCGCGUUCUUCUCUGUGCAUUAUAUACGACUAAACUCUAUGGUCUCAGGUUCCUGAGAACCAAACCCCGGUGAGGACUCAUAACGCCGUCGAUCCCAUGCCGUGGUGUUGGCGCACCUUCUCUACGAGUUCGCCAAGCUAAAUAGAGUCCAACGUGACCGUUCUUAUUCACGGACUUUCUUUUGUUAUAUUCGUUUAUAGAAAUGGAGCUAAGCUGUCCUUUCAUUGUUAUAUCAUAGUGAACUGAAGUUAACCGUUUCUCCAUUCGACAUUUCUUCUCUUUCUUCCUAGAUUUUUAGCUUAGAAAAAUAUUAGAUAUCGAUGACUAUUAUCAAAUGAUAACUGAGUAUUGAGUAUAGCUACAGCUUAUAUAAAGAGAAUAUUUAUAAGUUUUUAUCAUAAUGUUAAGAGAUUAAUUUUGAAUUCAAAUAUCAAAUAUUAAAUAUAAAAUAAGUAUCAAAUGAUGAAAUAACUAAAUAAAAUAAAAAACCGCGAAUUCAACAUCGA